CCAAACUGGCCAUGGUUACUGUUUGGAGAGGAUGCCCUGUGAAUAGAACACAUAGAGCAUCUGAAUUAUUUCACCACCCAUGGAGGCAUAGGCACAGAACACCAGACACCAAAAACCAAACUCGUAACUGAAGCCUUUGAUUUAGAGUGUAGUCAUUCCAUCCUGGGAGCACUCAUGGAGUAGUAAGGAGCUACUGUUUAAUUUUAGUAAGAAUAAACUGUGUCUUCUCCCACUGCCUACGCUUAAAAUAAAGAGACUUAUAAAGAAACAUCCUUUCCACUGAUUAUUUUUGCAGACUGG